rnacentral:tRNA from 1 species
GCGGGGGUGCCCGAGCUAGGUCAAAGGGGUCGGGCUCAGGACCCGAUGGCGAAGGCCUGCGUGGGUUCAAAUCCCACCCCCCGCACCA